CUCAUUUCAUUCUUGAACCCCUGCCCUCAAAUUUCCCCCCAAAUUUUCCCUCCCUCCCCGUACUGCGAGACGCUUCACCACUGCCGGAAAGCUGUACAGCUCUCUCUCUUUUUGUUUGAGCGUACCCCGAUGAGAAAAAAGUGAAAGUCCAGCUUCUUCUUUCACCCACGUGAUUUCAACGUGUUGAGUGUUGAGCCUUAUGGGUCUGAAUUUCCUUGAUUUCUUCUGUGUUUCCAAUUUUUGUUUAGUUUUGUGUGUGAUUUCAACGUGUUGAGCGUUGUUUGGUUUUCCCACAGCUCUCUCUCUCUCGCGCUCUUCUUGUUUGAGCGUAAACAUUUAAGAUCAAGCACAGAUCUGGAUCAUUCAUUAAGAAAUCUCUCAAAUCCGGGCUUAAGAAUCUUUCAUCUUGUUUUUCAUUUCUUAUUUUGCUUGUCUGUUUGUCUAAUUUUUUAUGGUGAUCUAGUUUUUUUGAUAUUUUUUGAAGGUUUCGGUAGAAGAUUUCAAUUGACCACUAAGGUUUCAAAAUGGCAAGCCACCGGGUUGCCAUCAUUGCUCCAUUUGUGCCUUUCUGUUGAACAACACUUCUAUUCAGAAAGUUCAUGGAGAUUUCUCGACUCCUUGAGAAGAAUCCAGUUCCAACUGACUAUAAAGAUGUGAGUAAAGAUAGUACAUGGCAUGGACUUGUGAGACAUUACUUGAAUGGUACAAAAAGGAAUACCGUGAAUGCAAUUCGGAUGGCCUUGCAUAUAAUCUGGGAUUGCAAUGAAGCUAUUUGACUGAACUAUGGCAGAGGCAGAACUGUCUAGCAAUGGCAAGCACCAGGGAUAGGGAUGUUUAAUUUUUAUUUUGACAGCACUUUUGCUACUAGUUUAAAGGUUGGUUGUCACUGGAUUUAUUGAGCUGAUGGACCAGGCACUUCACCACCCAUUUAUCUUUGU